GCCUUGUUAGCUCAGUUGGGAUGAGCGUUCGCCUGAAAAGCGAAAGGUCGCCGGUUCGAUCCCGGCACAAGGCACCA
rnacentral:tRNA from 1 species